rnacentral:misc_RNA from 1 species
CUCUACUAUUAUCUAGUAUUACUAUAUUUUUCCAUUAACAUAAAAAAGCAUAUUCUUUCUCAUUUUUAUUGAAUAAAUAAAAGUAAUAAAUAAGCAAAAUUUUCAUUUUUAUCUAGAAUUUAAAUUGUAAAAAAAAAAAAAAACUUCAUAAAAGAUUAGGAAAAGUAAAAGUAUAUGAUAUAGAAACCUAUAAUAUAAAUGAAUACAAAUAAAAACAAACAAAUCGAACCAAAUUAUAAAAAGUACUUGUUAUUUUUAAAGUUUAAAGAAACUAUGUAAGGCAAAUAGUACUAAAUAAAAAAAGGAGCAAUAACGCCCUCUUGUUUUAUCAAGAGGGAAGCUAUUGCUCCUUUUUUAGUUCAAAAACUCCUAUACAAUCAGACCAAAGUC